AGAAAAAUCCAAGACCAGUGACUCACCAGUUCCAACAAAAUUUAGAUUAUUACAAAGCGCGUGGAGCAGACUUGAUGAAUAAAACCCGUGCCAGUGCUAAGGCUGCCCCACUGAACAUCAACAAAGUCUCCAACAGCUUACUGAACUUUGGCCGAAAGCUGAUAGCUCCAGCCAUGGCUUCAGGCAGCACUGCAGGCCCCACUGCCGGGACAGGCAGCUUCUCUCCAACAACAGGGCCUACCCGUGGGACAGCGGAAGGCCCCCAGUACCACCAGCACCAGGCACAGCAGCAAAGAAUGAUGAAG